AUUGCCACAGUAAUUGGACGCAGGCAAAUGUAAAAAAUACAUAACAACAACAGAAAUGAAGAAAGCCCCAAAAAGCGCAAACGGUAAGCGCCGAGUUGCCGCUAUGCCGACUAUUCAGGCAGAAAUAAUUGAAUAUGAAAGGCCCGGAAGUAAAAUAAUGAAUGAGAGUGUGUGUGACAGAGAGAGACGGCGCACAAAGAGAGAGAG